GUUAAAACACCGGUUUCCGUACGAUCACCAAAGUUAAACAACGUCGAGUCUGGUCAAUAUCUAGAUGGGUGUCCGCUUGGGAAUAUCGGGUG